AGAGUUUGAUCCUGGCUCAGAACGAACGCUGGCGGCAGGCUUAACACAUGCAAGUCGAACGAUAUAGUGGCAAACGGGUGAGUAACGCGUGGAAACGUGCCUUUCACUACGGAAUAGCUUUUGGAAACGAAAGGUAAUACCGUAUACGCCCUCCGGGGGAAAGAUUUAUCGGUGAAAGAUCGGUCCGCGUUAGAUUAGCUAGUUGGUGAGGUAACGGCUCACCAAGGCGACGAUCUAUAGCUGGUCUGAGAGGAUGAUCAGCCACACUGGGACUGAGACACGGCCCAGACUCCUACGGGAGGCAGCAGUGGGGAAUAUUGCACAAUGGGCGCAAGCCUGAUGCAGCCAUGCCGCGUGAAUGAUGAAGGCCUUAGGGUUGUAAAAUUCUUUCGCCAGGGAUGAUAAUGACAGUACCUGGUAAAGAAGCCCCGGCUAACUUCGUGCCAGCAGCCGCGGUAAUACGAAGGGGGCUAGCGUUGUUCGGAAUUACUGGGCGUAAAGCGCACGUAGGCGGACUUUUAAGUCAGAUGUGAAAUCCCGAGGCUCAACCUCGGAACUGCAUUUGAAACUGGGAGUCUAGAGAUCAGGAGAGGUUAGCGGAAUACCGAGUGUAGAGGUGAAAUUCGUAGAUAUUCGGUGGAACACCAGUGGCGAAGGCGGCUAACUGGACUGAUACUGACGCUGAGGUGCGAAAGUGUGGGGAGCAAACAGGAUUAGAUACCCUGGUAGUCCACACCGUAAACGAUGAGUGCUAGUUGUCUGCAGGCAUGCCUGUAGGUGACGCAGCUAACGCAUUAAGCACUCCGCCUGGGGAGUACGGCCGCAAGGUUAAAACUCAAAGAAAUUGACGGGGGCCCGCACAAGCGGU
rnacentral:rRNA from 1 species